AGGGAAUCUUCCACAAUGGACGCAAGUCUGAUGGAGCAACGCCGCGUGAGUGAAGAAGGCUUUCGGGUCGUAAAACUCUGUUAUUGAAGAAGAACGUGUGUGACAGUAACUGGUCAUGCAGUGACGGUAUUCAAUCAGAAAGUCACGGCUAACUACGUGCCAGCAGCCGCGGUAAUACGUAGGUGGCAAGCGUUGUCCGGAUUUAUUGGGCGUAAAGCGAGUGCAGGCGGUCUUUUAAGUCUGAUGUGAAAAGCCUUCGGCUUAACCGA
rnacentral:rRNA from 1 species